rnacentral:rRNA from 1 species
AUUGAACGCUGGCGGCAGGCCUAACACAUGCAAGUCGAGCGAGCGGCGGACGGGUGAGUAAUGUCUGGGAAACUGCCUGGUGGAGGGGGAUAACUACUGGAAACGGUAGCUAAUACCGCAUACCAUCAGAUGUGCCCAGAUGGGAUUAGCUAGUAGGUGGGGUAACGGCCCACCUAGGCGACGAUCCCUAGCUGGUCGGAGAGGAUGACCAGCCACAAUGGAACUGAGACACGGUCCAGACUCCUACGGUAGGCAGCAGUGGGGAAUAUUGCACAAUGGGCGCAAGCCUGAUGCAGCCAUGCCGCGUGAGUGAAGAAGGCCUUCGGGUUGUAAAGCACUUUCAUCGGGGAGGCGUUACCCGCAGAAGAAGCAACGGCUAACUACGUGCCAGCAGCCGCGGUAAUAC